CACAAUUUAUCCUUUUUAGAAACUCUCCUCCCCCAAGAAAGUUGCAACAGUGGAAAGAACAAAAGUUGGGAUGGUGUUUGAAGGAGGAAUUUAAGAAAAGGGAUUGAGCAGCUGGAUUCAAGGCUUGAAUGCAAAGGAAAACUCUUCUUGGUGUAGGCACUCUGUAAAUAGUUGAGAAGCACUUGUUUCUCAAAGAGAAGGACUUCAUGAGAGCUGUAAUGGUCAUUCUGGAGGUUUCCCCAAUAACAGCAUUUUGCCCUAAUGCUGUUCAUGUGGUGUUUUGAGAACUACAAAAAAUAAAACUAGGAAUAAUUCUAACUAGUCAGAUCCUUCUGGUUUGCUUCUUCUCCAUGGAAGUCAUGGGGAACACAGAAGGUGUAAAUGUAGCAGGGGAUAUGAAAGAUAAAGUUGAGUGAAGAGAAUCCAGGAGACCUUUGCAUCUGUGAAGACACGGCUGCUGAGGCAGGCCUGUGGCUACGUGCACACUUAAGAAAUACACAUGUGCUGAUAGAAAACAGAUUUAAAAGGUACCCACUGCUGGUUCCAGUAAACACAAGGCUGAAUGGAAACAUUUGUGAGCCAAAGGCAUCGGUGUCUGCCUCGUAAAAUCUCAAACUGAGAAAUGAGGGAUUAAAUGGCUGUGAACCCUUAAUUAAGUGCUCAGCACCAACGUGCCCUCCUGCUGGAGCCUGAGACGUGCUGAUAGGAGCUGGUGAGGAGCUGGAGCUUGUGGUACUCCUGAUUUUCAAGGUGGAAAAAAGUCCUGCGCUCUCUCUUUUUGAGACACCAUCUCAUGUGUGGCUGGUUCACAGGGCAGACUCCAAAACCAGUGGCAGUGGUGGGUUUUUAGUGGAAUGCAGUUAUUCUGGGAGAAGCAAAUUCCUGGGUGUGCGAG
rnacentral:lncRNA from 1 species